AAGCGGUGGAUGAUGUGGAUUAAUUCGAUGCAACGCGAAAACCUUACCUACCCUUGACAUGUCCGGAAUCCCGAAGAGAUUUGGGAGUGCUCGCAAGAGAACCGGAACACAGGUGCUGCAUGGCUGUCGUCAGCUCGUGUCGUGAGAUGUUGGGUUAAGUCCCGCAACGAGCGCAACCCUUGUCAUUAGUUGCCAUCAUUUGGUUGGGCACUCUAAUGAGACUGCCGGUGACAAACCGGAGGAAGGUGGGGAUGACGUCAAGUCCUCAUGGCCCUUACGGGUAGGGCUUCACACGUCAUACAAUGGUCGGUACAGAGGGUUGCCAACCCGCGAGGGGGAGCUAAUCCCACAAAGCCGAUCGUAGUCCGGAUCGCAGUCUGCAACUCGACUGCGUGAAGUCGGAAUCGCUAGUAAUCGUGGAUCAGCAUGUCACGGUGAAUACGUUCCCGGGUCUU
rnacentral:rRNA from 1 species